UACGUAGGGGGCAAGCGUUGUCCGGAAUUAUUGGGCGUAAAGGGCGCGUAGGCGGCCACCGCAAGUCGGUUGUGAAAUCUCUGGGCUUAACCCAGAAAGGUCAACCGAUACUGCGGGGCUAGAGUGCAGAAGGGGCAACUGGAAUUCUCGGUGUAGCGGUGAAAUGCGUAGAUAUCGAGAGGAACACCUGCGGCGAAGGCGGGUUGCUGGGCUGACACUGACGCUGAAGCGCGAAAGCUAGGGGAGCGAACGGG
rnacentral:rRNA from 1 species